rnacentral:rRNA from 1 species
AACCCUCGUCGUAUGUUAUAUGUGUCAGUACGAGACUGCCGGUAAAAAGCCGGAGGAAGGUGAGGAUGAUGUCAAGUCAGCAUGACCUUUAUAUCCAGGGCUACACACACGCUACAAUGGUCUGUACAAUGGGUAGCCAAGCCGCGAGGCGGAGCCAAUCCUGAAAGCAGGCCUCAGUUCAGAUUGCAGUCUGCAACUCGACUGCAUGAAGCCGGAGUUGCUAGUAACCGCAGGUCAGCAAUACUGCGGUGAAUACGUUCCCGGGUCUU